rnacentral:tRNA from 1 species
GGGCCCUUAGCUCAUCUGGGAGAGCGCCUGUUUUGCAAGCAGGAGGCGGUCGGUUCAAGUCCGACAGGGUCCA